CUUGACUGUAUCCUGGAAUUGGGUUCGGGCUUUUCUUGCGCAGUCUAGGUGGGAGGCUAUGAAGAUUUCCUUCCGGGGAAGUUGGAGCCAUCAGUGAGAGACCACUCUGGAGAGGCUAGAAUCCUAAUGGUGAUCCUUGAAUCGGGACACUUGACAGUUUCAGGUGGGCAGUUUCUCUGGGGCGGAGGCCUCAUAAAAGGUAACUGAGGCGCGCAAAGGUCCCCUCAGUCUGGACGGAAAUCAGACAACGAGUGUAAAGGCAAAAGGGGGCUUGACUGCAAGACCUACAAGUCGAGCAGGAGCGAAAGCUGGCCUUAGUGAUCCGACGGUACCGUGUGGAAGGGCCGUCGCUCAACGAAUAAAAGUUA
rnacentral:rRNA from 1 species